CCAAGGCUUCCCACACUGCUUUAGAGGCAUCAACUAUGUUAUUUGGGCAUGGAGGCUGAUAAUCGUGCUCGUCAUCACAUCCCAUGGUAGAGUCACACUCAUCUACAACUUUAGCCUUCACACUUCGUCCAUUAGCACUUAUGGUGAUAUAGUUAAGGCACCUAUCUUGUCACAACCCAACUUUUCAGGUCAUGAUGACGCCUAUCAUAACCCACCAGUAGGCAAGCCAACCUGUGCUGUGUAAAGCCAAACAGUAAUAGGUUUAGGUUAGCUACUGAACCAAGUCUAGUUUUAGCUUUCACUGAUCAUGUCUCUUUCAUUGGCAUGAAUCUCAUUACGAUCAUUUCAAAAGUGUAUAUGAACACAAUUUCAUUAAUUAUACUGUAGUUUCAAAACAACAAAUUACACGAGAAAUUAGAUGACAUAAUAUGAGUAUGUAGACGAUUAUCAUAUUGCAAACGAUACCAUCAAAUACUAAUGCAUUAAGCAUCAGACCAUGUAAUGUCAUAUUCGCCCUAAUCAUCUUCAGGUAUACCCAAGGCUUCCCACACUGCUUUAGAGGCAUCAACUAUGUUAUUUGGGCAUGGAGGCUGAUAAUCGUGCUCGUCAUCACAUCCCAUGGUAGAGUCACACUCAUCUACAACUUUAGCCUUCACACUUCGUCCAUUAGCACUUAUGGUGAUAUAGUUAAGGCACCUAUCUUGUCACAACCCAACUUUUCAGGUCAUGAUGACGCCUAUCAUAACCCACCAGUAGGCAAGCCAACCUGUAGUCCGGAACGGCUAGUAACGGACUACUCAAUAACAUAAGGAAAAUAAUGCGGAAUACAUGAGAUAAAGAUCAAUACAUAGACGAAUCCCAAAACCUGGUGGUAUCAGUACAAGAGCUUCUAAACAUAAUAAGAGUACAAAAGUGAUAUAUCAAGGAGAAAUACACUGAUUCAACUCACCUCUGAAUACAACUUAGAGGCUAGUCUAAUAAAUAGGAGAGAGAUAAGUAAUACUCCGAACGUCAGGAGCUCACUCUAAGUCUCCGAAUCAGGGCUACUCCACACGAUGCACAUAUCAACGACGAUAACUCGUACUAUGAUCUGCAGGCUGUGGAGGUGUAGUAUGAGUACCAAACGAAUGGUACUCAGCAGGCAUCUGCCAACUGAGCUCCAAAGAUAAAGUAGAUAUAUACAACAUAUAAACAGAAUGGAAACUACAAUCAAGAGCAUAAAUCAUGUAAUA
rnacentral:lncRNA from 1 species